GCAUGAAGUGAAGAGGAAAGGAAAGAACACAAACCCUAGGUGGGAAAAUUGAAGAAAAAGUGUGGGAUUUCAAGGGAUUAAGCUAAUAAAGGUAAAAUUUUGUGAUUUUAUCUUGUGAUUUACACUACCCAUGCUUUCUUUUUCAUUUUUCAUGCUUAGAACUCAAGUUUGCAUGAUGAACCCAUGCUGGCCGAAUUUGAGAGGAGAGAUUUUGAGCAUUGAUUUUGCUAUAUUUCAGGCUAAUUAAGUGUUUUUGGUUGUUUAGUAAUGGAAAGUAUGAAAAUCUAGCAAGGAAUCACUUUGUUCUUCACAAACCCACAAGAGGCCGAAUUUUCUAGGGAGGAUACUGAGGCUGAAAUUUAUGAUAUUUCAUGAUAUAUUUGUGGUAUUUAAUGAUUGGUGAGGCUAGAAAUUUAAUAAGAAUUUUUGGCAUGAAAAUCUGAAUUUUUACCUAAUGUAUAGACAUGUGCGAUUUAUGGGCCGAAUUGAUAAAUUGAUCAUAUUCACAGUCAUUGAGGUAUUUUAAGUAUAAUUGGAGUGUAGAAAGUGAAAGAAAUCGAUUUGGAGUAAAAUUGGAGGUUUUAGCCAAUUACAUCGAGAAUAGUGCGAAUUAGGUCAAAUACCGUAUUUAAACGGCUAUUCAAACAUUUUGCAUCACAUUUCGUGUAUUCAUAUAGAUUUAUAGAGCCUCAAAUAAUUUAUGAUAAAUUGAUACAAUUUAUUGAAAUUCGUGUCACGUAUGAUGUAUAGGUGGUGAGCCCUCUAACAAGGGUAAAAAGAUUGUGCCCAAAGACCGAGAAUAGGAGUAUAUCAAACUCCUACUACUGUGAGUAACCUUACUAUUGUAUUAAUUAUCUAAAGUGGUUUUUUUUCGAUUUUGU
rnacentral:lncRNA from 1 species